AUUGAACGCUGGCGGCAUGCCUUACACAUGCAAGUCGAACGGCAGCACGGGUGCUUGCACCUGGUGGCGAGUGGCGAACGGGUGAGUAAUACAUCGGAACGUACCUUAUCGUGGGGGAUAACGCAGCGAAAGCUGUGCUAAUACCGCAUACGCCCUGAGGGGGAAAGCGGGGGAUCGCAAGACCUCGCGCGAUUAGAGCGGCCGAUGCCUGAUUAGCUUGUUGGUGGGGUAAAAGCCCACCAAGGCGACGAUCAGUAGCUGGUCUGAGAGGACGAUCAGCCACACUGGGACUGAGACACGGCCCAGACUCCUACGGGAGGCAGCAGUGGGGAAUUUUGGACAAUGGGGGCAACCCUGAUCCAGCAAUGCCGCGUGAGUGAAGAAGGCCUUCGGGUUGUAAAGCUCUUUUGUCAGGGAAGAAACACCGGCUCUAACACAGUCUGGGAAUGACGGUACCUGAAGAAUAAGCACCGGCUAACUACGUGCCAGCAGCCGCAGUAAAAC
rnacentral:rRNA from 1 species